AGGCCCCUUCUUGAUCAUCGCUGGUACGGAUGAGAGCGGCAGUGGGCAUUUGGAAAGCACCUGGGGCCGCGCCCGGGCGCAGUGCCCCCAUGUGGCCUCCCACCCCGGGCGGGCAGGACGAUUCCUGCCCAUCUGGAAGACCAGGAACCUGCGCGUUCACAGGGUUCGGAAGCCCGGGCUGCGCCUUCCCGCGGGGCCGGCUGCCGGGCUGGGGGCUCUUCCCGCCUCUGCAUGCACAGAGCCCGCGGUGCACGAACCUGCUCCCCGCCAGCCCCGCGGACUGGCAGGGCCGCUCUGGAGUCACCCGCGCCCGCUCCGCAGUGCGCAAACUCACUUCGCAGCGGGCUCUCCCGGGGCCAGCCCUUCCCUCCUGGGCGGGCAUUUUCACCUCCAGGUACAAGGGGGUGGUCCCCAGAGGAGGACUCAGGGGCUUAAGGAGAAGCUGAGGCCCGGUCCUCUGGCCUCAACGACUGCACAUUCUCGCCGCCUGCUUCACUUCUUAGAGCCUUGGAGGUAGGCAUGGCCUCCCUAUCCCCUCAGCUAGGCCUGUGGGUAGAAUAACAUACAGUCCCUUAUUCUCCAAUUAAAAAUGGGAACACAGAAUAUGACACAGGAACCCAUGCAAACAAAGGGAUAGAGCAUUUGAAAUAAAAAUGCCAAGGAGGGUGAGGUGAGCGGUUGUCAGAGAGGUGGAACCGGAAGACUGGCAGUUGGUCUGGAGUCCCCUUCCCAGGAAGGACACAGAGAAGGCAAGGUCCCUGUCUGGUCCUUCAGGGCUCCAUAUGGAUUUGUGUGCCCAAGAGGCCGGAUCCCUUGGGCCAGGUGCCCUGGAGCAUGGAGUGGUGACAGUCACAGCACCGGCUCCCAAACUGCAGUCCUGGUUCCAGCCCCAAAACAAAAAUAUUUCCAGCCCUUCAGCCCUCCAGGCAAAGCAAGAUAAGGGGCGAGACCCCAGAACCCUCAGAACUCAAACCAAGUUCCCAGCUUCCACUUCCAGGUGAAUUGGUCUCACCACCUCACCCCACCCCCAGGAGAUAGAACCUUCUAGUAAAAAUGAGAAAAUCCGGCCGGGCGCGGCGGCUCACGCCUGUAAUCCCAGCACUUUGGGAGGCUGAGGCGAGUGGAUCACCUGAGGUCGGGAUCACCUGAGGCUGAGGCUGAGGCAAGGAGAAUCGCUGGAACCCAGGAAAGAGGUUGCAGUGAGCCGAGAUCGCACCAUUGCACUCCAGCCUGGGCAACAAGAGCAAAACUCCGUCUCAAAAAAAUAAAAAAGAUGUUCAGAGAAACAGUUCCAUUUACUAAGUCACUGCUGGUGGCCAAAGCCUAGUUAAUGUUCUGAAAAUCUCCAUCGUGUUUGUUCCUCUUCUGUGAUUCUUAUUUUCUCUUCUAUUUUCACCUGCCAUAUUUUUUCCUGAGGCUGACAACUGUUUGGUAGGAUAUAAGAGGAUUUAAAACUUAGUAAAGCAAAUUACUUGCCUUUGUUAAAUUCUCUUCCUUGCUGGCGUUAUAUGGUUUCAGAAUUUUAGCUAUGACUGCAGGCAGGGGUGGAUUGCAAAAAUUGCUGAAUGGGG
rnacentral:lncRNA from 1 species